rnacentral:rRNA from 1 species
CAUUUGAAAUCUGGCACCUUCGGUGUCCGAGUUGUAAUUUGAAGAAGGUAACUUUGGAGUUGGCUCUUGUCUAUGUUCCUUGGAACAGGACGUCACAGAGGGUGAGAAUCCCGUGCGAUGAGAUGCCCAAUUCUAUGUAAAGUGCUUUCGAAGAGUCGAGUUGUUUGGGAAUGCAGCUCUAAGUGGGUGGUAAAUUCCAUCUAAAGCUAAAUAUUGGCGAGAGACCGAUAGCGAACAAGUACAGUGAUGGAAAGAUGAAAAGAACUUUGAAAAGAGAGUGAAAAAGUACGUGAAAUUGUUGAAAGGGAAGGGCUUGAGAUCAGACUUGGUAUUUUGCAAGCCUUACCUUCGUGGUGGGGUCCCCUGCAGUUUACUGGGCCAGCAUCGGUUUGGAUGGUAGGAUAAUGACUUGGGAAUGUGACUUUGCUUCGGUAAAGUGUUAUAGCCCUUGUUGAUACUGCCUGUCUAGACCGAGGACUGCGUCUUUGACUAGGAUGCUGGCAUAAUGAUCUUAAGUCGC